GAUGAACGCUAGCGGCAGGCUUAAUACAUGCAAGUCGAACGGGAUUCAGGGUAGCAAUACUUUGAUGAGAGUGGCGCACGGGUGCGUAACGCGUAUGCAACCUACCUUUAACAGGGGAAUAGCCCCGAGAAAUCGGGAUUAAUACUCCGUAACAUUGCGGGAUGGCAUCAUUCUGCAAUUAAAGAUUUAUCGGUUAAAGAUGGGCAUGCGUGACAUUAGCUUGUUGGUGAGGUAACGGCUCACCAAGGCAACGAUGUCUAGGGGUCCUGAGAGGGUUAUCCCCCACACUGGUACUGAGACACGGACCAGACUCCUACGGGAGGCAGCAGUAAGGAAUAUUGGUCAAUGGGCGCAAGCCUGAACCAGCCAUGCCGCGUGCAGGAAGACGGCCCUAUGGGUUGUAAACUGCUUUUGUCUAGGGAAUAAACCUGUCUACGUGUAGACAGCUGAAGGUACCUGAAGAAUAAGCAUCGGCUAACUCCGUGCCAGCAGCCG
rnacentral:rRNA from 1 species